rnacentral:rRNA from 1 species
GAUGAACGCUGGCGGCGUGCCUAAUACAUGCAAGUCGAGCGAACGGACGAGAAGCUUGCUUCUCUGAUGUUAGCGGCGGACGGGUGAGUAACACGUGGAUAACCUACCUAUAAGACUGGGAUAACUUCGGGAAACCGGAGCUAAUACCGGAUGAUAUUUUGAACCGCAUGGUUCAAAAGUGAAAGACGGUCUUGCUGUCACUUAUAGAUGGAUCCGCGCUGCAUUAGCUAGUUGGUAAGGUAACGGCUUACCAAGGCAACGGUGCAUAGCCGACCUGAGAGGGUGAUCGGCCACACUGGAACUGAGACACGGUCCAGACUCCUACGGGAGGCAGCAGUAGGGAAUCCUCCGCAAUGGGCGAAAGCCUGACGGAGCAACGCCGCGUGAGUGAUGAAGGUCUUCGGAUCGUAAAACUCUGUUAUUAGGGAAGAACAUAUGUGUAAGUAACUGUGCACAUCUUGACGGUACCUAAUCAGAAAGCCACGGCUAACUACGUG